AUGAAAACAACGGAGCCAUGUUUACCUACAAUUUAUUUGCAGGCUGCAGCUGAAUUGGUUAACAGCUGAUGCAAAUUGUUAUGAGCGAGCAAAGGACCCACCCUCCUUGUAACUGUAGUGAAACAGAAAGACCUGUCAAAAAUACUUCUUCCAAUUUUGAAGAAAUCGUCUUAUGGCCUUCAGUUGUUUUUUGGUUUAAUCCAGUUUAUAUGCCUAAUCCUUAAAGGCAAAUAAAGUGUUCAGGAGGCUUUCCACCAAAGGAAUGGCUUUUCUCUUGCAAAAUAAAGCUGGUUCAACGCUCUCUGAUUUGGAGACACAUUUGUUCCCUGACUACCUUCUUCCAGAGACUGAACUGUGUUCCAUCAACAUUUCCAUUGCUCCUACUGUUUUAACUUGCUCAGGACAAGGAAACCACCUCAAAAUACUACUGGAAGGUGCUUUAAGAAGUUAUACUCCCAUGUUUUCUUUCAAGAUGAGACGAUGAAAGGCUCCCUGUUGUGCGGGAUUUGGACAUUUCACACUUGGAACACAAAUUGGGCUGAUUAUCCAUACAGCAUUAUUGUCACAUUUGUGGGUUUUGGUGCCAGGAAGCAAUAAGCUGUGAACUGCCAUAUUCCCACUGUCUCAGCCUCUGGGGAUGGGAAGGAAAACCCCUUUUUUGUAUGUCCUUCUUCAAUUUCGUAUCUAGAUCAUUUUGGCUCAUAGACCUAUACCAGAGACAGAUUCCCCUCUCCUCUCUCCAAAUGUAGAAGCAGCCAUCACUCUGAAGCUUUGGAGGCAUUCAGACCAUGCUUCUAAAAAUCAGGUUCCAUUCUUCCAUUCCCAUACUCACAGGUUUCAAGCAAAACGCAAAGCACUGAGAUGCUGUAAGCGCAAUCUCUUGGCACUAUCUGCUGGGGAACACAGUGCUGGAAAUCUUUUGAAAUAGAUGGCUUCUCACAUAAAUUACACUCUGCUAAAAGACUUCAAGGGAUUCUAGUUCAUGGUUGAUUCUUAUCCAGGCAGAAAGUCUUGAGUGUUUUGGAUUGCCCCUCUUUUAGCCUGACUUUCCUAGGUCAAGGGUAGACAAAGUCUUUACUGUCAGGAUGCUGGUGUCCCAGGGGCAGACUGCUCUGCCAUAAAGACACAUUCAGCCCUUAGUUGCUGAUCCAGUUAUGCAAGUGCAUUGCUUCAUGUGAUUUCUGUAGUAUAGUGAAGUCCCUUCUCCAUUAGGACAGGGCCUGAUGAAAACCCAGCACUGCACCAAAUACUGGAUCAAGACUUAACAAUCACUCUUUAGCCUGUAUUCUUCCAGAAAUGCCCGACAUUUUUGUAUAUGUACAUGUAUACAAACAGGCUGAUGAUAUACAAUAUAUACGCACAACCUCAUCUUACAGGUAAUAUAGUCAAGUUACACUUAAGGUACACUUAUUUCUGGAGUUUCAAGAGAACCAAUUAAAAAGAAACCUUUGGAUGUCAUAAAACUUGACACAUUUGUGUGAAAUACUUCUAUUUUGAAGAAAUAUUUCAGAAUAUUCAUAUUAAAAGUUGUUUUGUCAAAAAUCUACCAAUUACAGCAAAAGGGAAACUAAUGAGGAAAGCAAGUCUGGCACAGAACUGAACAAACUGGAGGCAUCUCAUACAUAAACUUGGAAUCAGAUCUUACUCAUGUCCCAUGGAUGUGUGAAAUAAACUGACAGUUUGCUUAGUCAAAUGUCUUGUCUGGCUGAUGGCUGCAGCACCAGCACAUGAAAGAAACUAUGUAAAACAGGGGACAAAAAUUAUUCUUCAGCUGUACUCCAAUAAUAAUGUUGAAAGCAACUACAUCUGUGUUAUGAGGCAGAGGCAGUAUAAAAAAUUACUGUUAACCUCACAUACUGCAAAAACUAGGGAGGUGUUAAACAAUUGCAUUCCCAUUUUGGGAAAAUAUGACUAUGACUGUAUCCUUGACAGAAAUAAGCUGUGAUUCCAGAAAUAAGGAGCAGAAAUAAGCCAUAAUUCUUUAGCCUUCCAGAAUUUCAUAACCAUUGUCAGUAUUAACCAAGUCACAGACUUCAGGGUAAUUCUCCAGGAAAACUUUGGAAUCUCCUAAGCAAAACAUAAAUACAAAUUAUUUUUAAAAUAGUGGCUUUAAUCCCAGAGUUGAGGGAGCUCACUUGAGAAUUUAUACUUCGACAUAUUAGGACUGAAUCUUAGGGAAAGGUCUAAUGUUAUUUUGUGCAAUUGGCAGAAUUGCAGCUCCGAUUUUUCCUUACACCCACCCUAUUUAGAUUCAAAGCCAGUCUCAUAUGAGAGCCUUUAGUAAGUUUUCUCUGAGGAAGAAAACCUAAUGGAGUCCAUGUACUGUUAUCACAAGUCCAUGUGUGUUCCUACCAGAAUAUGACUGGCCCUUGACAGUCACAGACAUGCACCAGAUGCAUGCAAUCUAUUUUGGGGGUGAAGUGGCACUGUCAAUAGUGAGAAGACAGGCUGGUCAUGGGACUUUUUUACAAAGUCCUUUAUCUUUUUUUACUGCAAAGGCAGUAGGAUUUUGUAGCCUGUCAGGGUGUAAGCUAUUCAUUGGUUUUCCAGCUGUGUGGUGGCAAAAUACAGCCAAUGAUGUGGAUACGUGGAUACAUCCUGCCCACUCACUGAUUUGCAGUCCUAGGACUAAAGUGCCUCCUAGCCCACACCCUGCAUGGUACAGACUGAGCUCUCAGGGUUUAACCAUGCACUGAAUGUUGAUAAAGUGUUUUGUGAAACAGUCAGUAUAAUUACAUUUUAAAGUUAAAAAAAAUAUAUAUUUUGCAGAACUGAGACUGAAACUGCUGUAUGUUAUCUGUACGCCUGCUAAAUGCUGUUCAAACUGUUUGCUACUCUAAAAAAAUGAAAAUAACAUUCAUAUAGAGCUGUUCUUCUACGGAGACCAUUACAUCUUCUUGAGCCAGACACAUAUGCUGUUUAGACUGUACUUAUGUGUUAAAUCAAAGCCAUCUAAGUAAAUGAUGUAAGUUCAUGAGCCACUGCUGCAUGCCCUUGCCACUGAGCUUAAACCAUUCAUAGUAACACUGUCCAACACACA